GUGGGGAAUCUUCCGCAAUGGACGAAAGUCUGACGGAGCGACGCCGCGUGAGUGAAGAAGGCCUUCGGGUCGUAAAGCUCUGUCAUCAGGGACGAACGGCCGGUGGAGUGGAAAGCCACCGGAUUGACGGUACCUGAGAAGGAAGCCACGGCUAACUACGUGCCAGCAGCCGCGGUAAUACGUAGGUGGCAAGCGUUGUCCGGAAUUAUUGGGCGUAAAGCGCGCGCAGGUGGGAUCUUAAGUCCAUUUUGAAAGUUCGGAGCUCAACUCCGUGAUGGGAUGGAAACUGGGAUUCUUGAGUACCGGAGAGGAAAGCGGAAUUCCUAGUGUAGCGGUGAAAUGCGUAGAUAUGGGGAGGAACACCAGUGGCGAAGGCGGCUUUCUGGACGGUGUCUGACACUGAGGCGCGAAAGCUAGGGGAGCGAACGGGAUUAGAUACCCCGGUAGUCC
rnacentral:rRNA from 1 species